rnacentral:rRNA from 1 species
ACGUAGGGGGCAAGCGUUGUUCGGAUUUACUGGGCGUAAAGGGCGCGUAGGCGGUCAGCACAAGUCAGUUGUGAAAUCUCCGGGCUUAACCCGGAAAGGUCAGCCGAUACUGCGGGGCUAGAGUGCAGAAGGGGCAACUGGAAUUCUCGGUGUAGCGGUGAAAUGCGUAGAUAUCGAGAGGAACACCUGCGGCGAAGGCGGGUUGCUGGGCUGACACUGACGCUGAGGCGCGAAAGCUAGGGGAGCGAACGGGA